rnacentral:rRNA from 2 species
UGCCCUAGUAACGGCGAGUGAAGCGGCAACAGCUCAAAUUUGAAAUCUGGCCCCAGGCCCGAGUUGUAAUUUGCAGAGGAUGCUUUUGGCAAAGCGCUUACCGAGUCCCCUGGAACGGGGCGCCACAGAGGGUGAGAGCCCCGUAUGGUAUGACGCCUAGCCUCUGUAAAGCUCCUUCGACGAGUCGAGUAGUUUGGGAAUGCUGCUCUAAAUGGGAGGUAAAUUUCUUCUAAAGCUAAAUACCGGCCAGAGACCGAUAGCGCACAAGUAGAGUGAUCGAAAGAUGAAAAGCACUUUGAAAAGAGGGUUAAAUAGCACGUGAAAUUGUUGAAAGGGAAGCGCUCGUGACCAGACUUGCGCCGGGCGGAUCAUCCAGCGUUCUCGCUGGUGCACUCCGCCCGGCUCAGGCCAGCAUCGGUUUUCGCCGGGGGACAAAAGCUUCGGGAACGUGGCUCCCCUCGGGGAGUGUUAUAGCCCGUUGUUUAAUACCCCGGCGGGGACCGAGGACCGCGCUUCGGCAAGGAUGCUGGCGUAAUGGUCAUCAGCGACCCGUCUUGAAACACGGACCGAGGAGUCAAGCAUUAGUGCGAGUGUUUGGGUGUAAAACCCGCACGCGUAAUGAAAGUGAACGUAGGUGAGAGCUUCGGCGCAUCAUCGACCGAUCCUGAUGUUUUCGGAUGGAUUUGAGUAGGAGCAUUAACGCUUGGACCCGAAAGAUGGUGAACUAUACUUGAAUAGGGUGAAGCCA